rnacentral:rRNA from 1 species
GACGAACGCUGGCGGCGUGCUUAACACAUGCAAGUCGAACGGAAAGUCCCUGCUUUUGUGGGGUGCUCGAGUGGCGAACGGGUGAGUAACCCGUGAGUAACCUGCCCUUGACUUUGGGAUAUCUUCAGGCAACUGGGGCUCAUCCCGGCUAGGAGCUCCUGCCGCAUGGUGGGGGUUGGAUAGUUUCGGCGGUUGGGGAUGGAGUAGCGGCUUAUCAGCUUGUUGGUGUGGUAGUGGCUUACCAAGGCUUUGCCGGGUAGCCGGCGUGAGCGGGUGACCAGGCACAGCGGGACUGGGAUACGGCCCAGACCCCGACGCGAGGCAGCAGUGGGGAAGAGGGCACAAGGGGCGGAAGCCAGAUGCAGCAACGCCGCGUGCGGGAGGACGGCCUUCGGGUUGGAAACCGAUUUCGCCUGUGACGAAGCGGGAGUGACGGUAAUGGGUAAAGAAGCACCGGCUAACUACGUG